rnacentral:rRNA from 1 species
UACAGAGGUCUCAAGCGUUGUUCGGAUUUAUUGGGCGUAAAGGGUGCGUAGGCGGCGCGGUAAGUCGGGUGUGAAAUCUCGGGGCUUAACUCCGAAACUGCAUUCGAUACUGCAGUGCUUGAGGACUGGAGAGGAGACUGGAAUUUACGGUGUAGCGGUGAAAUGCGUAGAUAUCGUAAGGAAGACCAGUGGCGAAGGCGGGUCUCUGGACAGUUCCUGACGCUGAGGCACGAAGGCCAGGGGAGCAAACGGG